rnacentral:rRNA from 1 species
UACGAAGGGGGCUAGCGUUGCUCGGAAUCACUGGGCGUAAAGGGUGCGUAGGCGGGUCUUUAAGUCAGGGGUGAAAUCCUGGAGCUCAACUCCAGAACUGCCUUUGAUACUGAGGAUCUUGAGUUCGGGAGAGGUGAGUGGAACUGCGAGUGUAGAGGUGAAAUUCGUAGAUAUUCGCAAGAACACCAGUGGCGAAGGCGGCUCACUGGCCCGAUACUGACGCUGAGGCACGAAAGCGUGGGGAGCAACAGGA